UUGCUCAUUUGGGCAGCAUAUAUGCUAAAAUUGGAAUGAUACAGAGAGUAACACACCCCUGGACAAAAGAUGACAUGCAAAUUCAUGAAGCAUUCCAUAUUUUC
ensembl:snRNA U6 U6 spliceosomal RNA